rnacentral:lncRNA from 1 species
CGGCAUGAAAUAUUGCAUAAGGUGACCCCUCACAAACAUUACAAGCGACAAAAUGACAAGAACUUGUAAAUAAUUUAUAGAUACCGGAACUUUCAACUUUUUCUUUUGAGGCUCUUCAUCACUUUCAUCAGAACUAUCAUCUUCACUGCUAUCUUCUUUAGGUGCUGGUUUUUUCUGUGGUUCCUACAUCCACAGAAUUGAGCAGAGCAUCAAAUUUGACAAGCUAAGGUGAUGCCAGAAUUUUUGAGAAAUAAAAAGAAUAUAGUGAUAUUCUCAACCAUGUGGCCUAAAAUUUCCAUCAAUGGACCAAAACAAGGAGAGCCUGGUGUCUUCUAAAAAAGAAUUAGGGAGCCAAUAAAAAGUGAUUGUACAGAAUACUCUAAAGCAAAAUGAGCUGCACAUCAUGCAAGACUACAGGAAUAUGGAACUAAUGAUCGCUGAAAAAAAAUAGCAACGCUUGAUAAUUAUGUGUGUGUGUGUGUGUGUGUGUGUGCACGCGUGCACACUUGCUUAACAGAGAUAGACAACCUAUUGAAAUUUAGCCAAAUGUUUUACUAUGCUGUAGAAAUAUAUAUAUAUAUAUAUAUAUAUAUAUAUGGAGCCCAAAAAAAAAUAUUUAAAAACUAAUCCCCUACCACUAGAGAAGUGCACAUGCCCAUCUCAACUUCUAUUUUAGGCAGCACCUUGCUUUGUGCAAAGAUUCUACUCAAUACACAUAUUCAAUCUAAUUACUAAGACAUUUCACACACUAUCAAAGAAUAAACAAUCUAUUAUUGCUUGUUAGCAAAUGGAGCCAACAAAUUGCCCCCUGCGCAUAACAGUCACCAACAUAGAGCUAUACUUCUGGCUAAAAUUAUCAAUCAGAACUAAUCAACAACUACUUUAUCAGCAUUUAAUAGCAGGACGAAGCAGUUUACUUGCUCUAACAUUCCUCUAGGAAGGUGGAAGGAUGAAAAACGCACCUCUUCUUCCUCUGAAGAGGUCUCAGAAGAACUAUCACUAGACUGUACUUUCUUUUUAGGUGCUGCAGCAAUUACAUUCUUUGCAGCAGCUACAUUCUUUGCAGCAGCUGGUUCCUGCACAUUAUUAGUUUGGGUAAGAAAAUAAACAUAAUAAUAAUACAAUACUAGAAUGAGCAAGAAAUUACAUGGCACAAGUAAAAAACACGUAUCCAACAAUUGACAAAAAACAAAUUCAAACCAGCAGAACAUGAAG